GAUGAACGCUGGCGGUAUGCUUAACACAUGCAAGUCGAACGGACUCUUCGGAGUUAGUGGCGGACGGGUGAGUAACGCGUGGGAAUUUGGCCUUGGGUUCGGGACAACCACUGGAAACGGUGGCUCAUAACGGUUGUGCCGAGAGGUAAAAGAGAAAUUGCCUGAAGAUGAGCUCGCGUCUGAUUAGCUAGUUGGUGAGGUAAAUGCUCACAAAGGCAGCUAUCAGUAGCUGGUCUGAGAGGAUGACCAGCCACACUGGGACUGAGACACGGCCCAGACUCCUGCGGGAGGCAGCAGUGGGGAAUUGUCCGAAAGGGGCGAAAGCCUGACGGAGCAAUACCGCGUGAGGGAAGAAGGCUCUUGGGUUGUAAACCUCUUUUCUUAGGGAAGAACAAAAUGACGGUACCUAAGGAAUCAGCAUCGGCUAACUACGUG
rnacentral:rRNA from 1 species